rnacentral:lncRNA from 1 species
AGCAGCUUUACCGCCCGCUCUGCUCUCCACUGCGGAGACUGGGGCUCCGGCAGAGGCUGGACCGUGAUCUUGAGGUUCAGGGGUGCAUUCUGGGUGGAUUCCCUUGGCAUGGGUGGUCGGCCCUCAGCAACUGCAGCCCUCAUUUGGCUCUGUCACCCUGGGCUGCCAGGACACAAGUCUUUCCAUGCUUUUCCCAGUGCUUGACUUGGCACUCCCUGCAGGCAGGCCCUGACCCGGAACUGUGGCCCAUGGGCAGAGAUAGUCCCUCACCUUGUGGAAGAACACUGUCUCCAAGAGGUUGAUGAUGGAGGCCUCGUGGUGCACCUGUCAGAUAAAGAGAAGGACAGGGCCUGAGGAAGGGAUAGGGGCUACCAGCUCUCCUCCCCGGUCCAGAGCCCUCUGAAGGAGUGAGAAGAGCUCCUGAAUGGGCUCGCCCUGGCUGACUGUGGCAUCGAGGAUGGCUUGCAUGUUCAGCUUCUCCAGGUUCUCAUGCUGCUGGUUCCACCUGCCUCAGAGGCAGAUCUCGUCAUAGCUGUGGCAGCCUGUAUAAAGCCGGGCAGGGUGGCUCUGCUCUUCCCGAGUCACCCGCACAGGAUACUUCUGUAGUCGCCUGAUGAGGUUCUUCAUAAGCCCGAACUGGAUCAGCUUCCUAGGUCUCCCUUCAAUUUUGUCUCUGUAGCCCAUCAUCUCCAGGAAGCCUGCUUGGAUUGGCAGUGCCCCAUGAUCCAGGGCUCCUGAGAGACAUAAAGGGUCUAGCUUCCCUCAGG